rnacentral:lncRNA from 1 species
AUACUUAUUAAUAAUAGUAUUACAAGUUACAAUAAUAAAAUAAGUUACUAAAAUCUUUAAGUUCAAAAACUGUGUCAUUCAGGUUAGGAGUCUGAUAAAAAGAUCAGUGAAAUGAGCGCAGCAUUUUCACAGGAUUAAAGACCGUAAUCACUUCAUUGAUUUAUGCAAUGAGCAAUUUGUAGGCUAUGUGAUGUGGUUAUAAUGGCCAUAAAUAUAUAAAUAGCCCUUAGUGAGUAUGGUAUAAGUCUUUAAGGUUAUACAUCUUUACUAGAUGUAUAAGAUAUAGCUGAAAUUAGAUUAAAUAUCUAAAUUAUAUCAAUGAACAUUCAAUACAUUUGUUUGCAAGGGAAAUGGUGUUACUAAUGUUGAAAAUCAUGAUUGUGUAAAUUUUGAAUUUAAUUUCUAUAUAAUUUUUCAGGCUGGGAGCUUGAACUUGUCUUCUUUUUGUGGAAUGCAAUUUAGGUACAGCAAGUUUUGCAACUUGCCCAUUUUUUACAGAAAAAGAUUUUAAUUGAAGAAGGAUUAAUUAUGCACACACACAAACACAAAACAUUAUUUAGCAAAUGCUAGUAUAGAAUGCCCAGUUAUAUUGUUUAUGUUUUAAAAAUAAAUCAAGUGAAAUAUUUUAUACAGAAUUUUAAAUUUAGAUUAGAUAAAUAUUAUAAGUAAUUAUAAAUGUUAUCGACUAGCAAGGUAGCAAAUUUGUCAAGGAGUGAUUUUCUGGUUUGGUGCCAAAGCCACCCUGGGCCUAAAUCAAAUUGGGCCUUCCGCAUAUGGGCCCAGAAUGGAGGCAAAGACCUGUCUCAUUUUAAAUUUCAGCAUCCUGGUGACAGAAGUGGGAGGAAAACAAAUAUUGUAGUGAGCCACUAUACAUAUACUUAUUAAUAUGUGUAUGUAUAGUGGUUAAAUAAUAAUAAUAAUAAUAAUAAAUUAUAUUUUUAAUUAAAAAA